GGCCCGUUGGUGGGUUAGCUCAGCUGGUUAGAGCGUGGUGUUAAUAACGCCAAGGUCGUGGGUUCAAUCCCCACACUGGCUC